GUGAGAUCACAGACUAUGAGAUCACAGACCUGUGUGAUUCUUAUUAGUUCCCGACCGGCCUGGCUACAGAUGACGUAUCUGCUGCUGUUUGUGAUAACAGUUACCUGGGUUACUGUUCAGGGCCACUUCGGCUGGCAACGUUGGCUCUUUACAUGGCUACAGAUGUCUGAUGCGCGGCAAGAGCAGCCAUGAAUCCUGAUCUGGCCUGAGUCAAGAUCCUUAAGAAAAUUAAUGGGGCCCGGUGGCAGCGGUGGCAGCGCAUGCCUUUAAUCCCAGCACUUGGGAGGUAGAGGCAGGUGGAUCUCUGGUUUGCAGGAGGUUAGUUUCCAGCAAGCAAGACGGCCCCAAGCUGUCCUUCCCAUCACCAGUGAGCCAUUCCAGCUGCUCCUGAAGCAUGAAACCUCUAUGUCCUCUUUCUCUAUUUCUGAAGUCCCCCAGCUCCAUCUCACUCUUCCAACCUAUCUCAUCUACAAACUGUCAAAUGAUAUGAACCUCUCUCAUAAGCUUGAAAGAGGAGUACAGGGGAAGUCAGCCACAUGAUCCACCAGCUUCCGCUGUUAAAAGUUGGUCCUCCUCGACCCUGUGUGUGGUUGAUUUCACUGGCCAGAGAAUAGAGAGACCAAGAGCUAGUCCCAACCUGAGCUACAGCAGCACCAGGCCCUGGGAGUUCUUCUGCCCCCAUUUACACAGCUAAGAGACACAUUGAAAAUGCACAAAUAAAAACUAGCUCAGUGGA